GACGAACGCUGGCGGCAUGCUUAACACAUGCAAGUCGAACGGAAAGGCCCUGCUUUUGUGGGGUGCUCGGGUGGAGACCGGGUGAGUAACCCGUGAGUAACCUGCCCUUGCCUUUGGGAUAACUUCAUGAAACUGGGGCUCAUACCGGCUAAGAGCUCCUGCUGCUUGGUGGGGGUUGGAUAGUUUCGGCGGUUGGGGGUGGACUAGCGGCUUAUCAGCUUGUUGGUGGGGUAGUGGCUUACCAAGACUUUGAAGGGUGGCAGGGCUGAGAGGGUGACAGGCUCCAUUGGGACGGAGAUACGGCCCAGACUCCAACGGGAGGCAGCGGUGGGGAAGAGUGCACAAGGGGCGGAAGCAUGAUGCAGCAACGCCGCGUGCGGGAAGACGGCCUUCGGGUUGUAAACCGCUUUCGCCUGUGACGAAGCGUGAGUGACGGUAAUGGGUAAAUAAGCACCGGCUAACUACGUG
rnacentral:rRNA from 1 species